UUACUGAUGCUGGCGAUUCUCAUCACGGUGUCUGGACCACAAGGCACUCUGUUCUCCAGAUCUGCAUAACCAACCCCUGAGAGACGACAGACACAGCCAGAGGUGACUCUCUGAACUACUGUACUAACACAGGCCUCGAGAGUAGUGCAGACUACCCAAGAGAAUAGUGUGUGUGGUGAGAGACUUCCUACCUUCACACCAAACAUGACUGCCAUCCACUGAGACGCCGAUAACCAUCCCAGGAGCUCCAACUUCAUCCUGCUGAACAAUAUGCACGUUUCAAUCCAUUCCUGUUCAGGCCUCUAGUGUCCGUCUUCACUGAAAGAUCAAUCAUUCACUGGUGUCUUGGCACGUUGUUCUUGGGUCUUUAGAAACUUCUCUCAAUAGUUUUCUUUACUUCUUUAGAUUGGGUCUCUUCAAACUUCUUGAUAUUGCUUCUCAAGGCUCUUCUUGACACCUCUUCACAUAAACGUGUAUAUGCUUGUCCUUCUGUGUGAACAUUAACAAUUCUUCUUCUCAAGUCUAAACUAUUUUUUAUUGUCUUUGGCAUGAUGACAGUACAUAUAAUUUUACCAGUUGUUUUGAAAGAUACCAA